rnacentral:lncRNA from 1 species
CUCUAAUACGCUUCUGCAUCUGGAUCUCAAAUCGAUGACAAGAUUUCAUCUUCUUCCUUAAGAUUCAUCGGUUUUCAUCUCUCAAUUUAGGGUUUCGACUAUAUAUUUCUUAUAAUCCGAAGAACACACAACCUUCAUUCGCAUCUAGGGUUUCUGUUUCUUCCAUCAUACACCUCAUUCUCAUCAUCCCUAAAUCUCAUUCCUGAAAGAUCAUCAAUACCAAGAUAGUCAAUUUCUUUCAUCACAGAUAGUCAAGAAGGUUUAUGGAGAUGAAGAUUGUUCGAUUUCUGGGUUCCAUCACAUGUAAAUCUCGUGGGAGGUUAAUCUACACCAUUCGGUACGUCCUUUUUUUGGAAUCAAACACGAAAACAAUGGAUUGGAGAUAAAGGAUCCAGCUACAAAAGAAAGCUAGAAAAGCUGAUAUAAGCGCUUUCUGGCUGAUUUUGUUAGGAUGGCUGAAUUUGAAAAUGUAAUGGAGUUGAAGGUCCUGAACGAUGAUGGAUUCGUGAUGAAUAUGCAUAUUGGGGCUGAACAUUCAGAGGGUUACAAGAGUGUCUCUCAUAGGCUUGACAUCGAUUACAGCUCCUUAAAAGCCCUAAGUCACACAUUUCAAUAAGUACAAGAUUGGAAGUUCAACAGUUCUUUUGUUUUUUUGUGUUCAAAGUUCAAAUACGGUUUGUAAGAGGGAGGAUGUUGUAUGCAAAUCGUAAGUAGAGGGUGGUUCAGUGGUUGGAAUAGGAAACUUUGGUGAGGUGGGGCCAUUGGAUCAUAACCCAAGAAACUUCACAUGGCUCAGAAAGGCAGAUCUUUUAUUUGUGGAAUGAAAUUUGUAGCAAAUUUACAAGAUUUAUAAUUUAUAAAUGAAUAUAAAGUACAAAACUUUUUAAUAAAUGAAUAUAUUGUGGCAGAAUCUUAUGGUGGAAAGUAUGAUGUCACACAUGGAUUAUUAGCUCUAAAAUAGAUUAAGGCUGGGAGAUUAAAGCUCAAUCUAGGAGAUUUAGAUUUUUCCAAAUCUUGAAAUAUAAGCAAUUAAAUUUAAAAACGUUAAAUUUGCAUAAAUUUUGAAUAAAGAUUUCAGCAAAAAGGCCAAAUGACAUUGCUCGCCAAAUCGGAUUAGCUUCUUUUGAUACAUCAAAGGUAUAUCGUUAAUUAGUUCCCCGUCACCUAUUUCCUUUGCUCGAUAGCGGGGAUUACAGAUUUCAACUGAGUCGAGUUUAUAUUAGCGAAAAAAGGUGCAUUAGGAACGAUAUGGAUCGCGCGCAUCUGGAUAGCUGCAUAAUUGGUGGCAAUUCAAUGUUAGAAGAUGCUAACAUUAAGGAUAUGAAGGAUGUGGAAGGUUUGAUCCGUCUCCCAGUCAAAGAUAACAACAGUCCACCAACCCAGAAAACAAAUUGAUGUGAUGUCUGUUGAAACUAAAGCUCUUCUUGACCCGCUUAACGGUUUGCCCAAGUGCAGGUUGUGCCCGUUGAGCGGCUCGGCAUACUGAUGAGUCCACGAUUUACUAGUGCGCCGCUCAUUCAAUUACCAAUGAGUGACAAUCGUAGUUACCGCUAUCAGAGGCGGCCCUGGGGGUGGGCAGGGAAGACCACCGGCCAGGGUCUGGUAUUUCAAAGGGCAUGUUAUUUAAAAAAACCCGAUACAUGUAAUUUUUUUAAUAUGGUAUACCCAUAUAAACUCCAACAUAUCCCCACUUACAAAACUAUUCUUAUGGUUUAGAUUAGUUAUU